AACGUGAUGGGUGGAGAUGCACAGUGAGUCGACCUGCGUAGCCAUGCGCUUUGAUUCAGACGUUUCAUCACGUCCGCGGUCAAUCACUGAUUCCUCCUCCUAAGCAUAAUAAGCUGCAAGCAAUUUUUACACUGCAGCCCACUGGAGACGCUGUCGCGAUAUAGGCUUUACAAGCUGAAUCGCUAGACACGGUUAUUUUAACUGCGCGACCCCAACACCGACCCGAUUUGUCGCGUGUGCCAAUUGAGUGAUCCGUGAACACGGA
rnacentral:ncRNA from 1 species